rnacentral:rRNA from 1 species
UGGCAUUCCCCUGACCGGUACCUAAUUCAGAAAGCCCCGGCUAACUACGUGCCCAGCAGCCCGCGGUAAUACGUAAGUGGGCCAAGCGUAUCCGGAAUUAUUUGGGCGUAAAAGCCGCGCGUAGGGCGGGUUUCUUAAAGUCUGAUGUGAAAACCCCACCGGCUCAACCCGUGGAGGGUCAUUGGAAACUGGGAAACUUGAGUGCAGAAGAGGAAAAGUGGAAUUCCAUGUGUAGCGGUGAAAUGCGCAGAGAUAUGGAGGRAACACCAGUGGCGAAGGGGACUUUCUGGUCUGCAACUGACGCUGAUGUGCGAAAGCGUGGGGAUCAAACAGGAUUAGAUACCCUGGUAGUCCACGCCGUAAACGAUGAGUGCUAAGUGUUAGGGGGUUUCCGCCCCUUAGUGCUGCAGCUAACGCAUUAAGCACUCCGCCUGGGGAGUACGGCCGCAAGGCUGAAACUCAAAGGAAUUGACGGGGACCCGCACAAGCGGUGGAGCAUGUGGUUUAAUUUGAAGCAACGCGAAGAACCUUACCAAAUCUUGACAUCCUUUGACAACUCUGGAGACAGAGCCUUCCCCUUUGGGGGACAAAGUGACAGGUGGUGCAUGGUUGUCGUCAGCUCGUGUCGUGAGAUGUUGGGUUAAGUCCCGCAACGAGCGCAACCCUUAAGCUUAGUUGCCAGCAUUAAGUUGGGCACUCUAAGUUGACUGCCGGUGACAAACCGGAGGAAGGUGGGGAUGACGUCAAAUCAUCAUGCCCCUUAUGAUUUGGGCUACACACGUGCUACAAUGGACGGUACAAAGGGCAGCGAACCCGCGAGGUCAAGCAAAUCCCAUAAAGCCGUUCUCAGUUCGGAUUGUAGUCUGCAACUCGACUACAUGAAGCUGGAAUCGCUAGUAAUCGUAGAUCAGCAUGCUACGGUGAAUACGUUACCCGCG